AUAACUCGAGUCUGGGAAAAAAUGGCGGCCUUGCUACGAUCGAGUUUACUCGAUUUGGACUUUCAAUAAACCUGCGCAAUGUAAGGCAUUAAAUUAUUUGGAACACCAUUAGGAUUUUCACCAAUCUGACCUGAAGGAUGAGCACCAACAGGAUUAAAAUAUCUCAACGAUAUAACCGAAAAUUCCUGAAAGUACACCAUAAACUGUGGCACUGCUAGAAUAAAUGAAACGUUUCACAUUGUUUUCCAACAUAAUUUCCAGUAAAUUUACAGUUCCAGC